UAUCAGGGCAGUUUAUCAGGGCAGAUUCCCUGUCCUGUUAAGUAAACUUUGAGACAUUGAACCAGCUAAGGUAGAUGAUUGCCUAGAAAAUAUUCUAUUCAUUUACCUUCCAGCUUACAAAA
rnacentral:snoRNA from 1 species